UACGUAGGGUGCGAGCGUUAAUCGGAAUUACUGGGCGUAAAGCGUGCGCAGGCGGUUUUGUAAGACAGAGGUGAAAUCCCCGGGCUUAACCUGGGAAUGGCGAUGGAGACUGCAAGGCUAGAAUCUGGCAGAGGGGGGUAGAAUUCCACGUGUAGCAGUGAAAUGCGUAGAGAUGUGGAGGAACACCGAUGGCGAAGGCAGCCCCCUGGGUCAAGAUUGACGCUCAUGCACGAAAGCGUGGGGAGCAAACAGG
rnacentral:rRNA from 1 species